ensembl:lncRNA
GGGGGGGUAAGGUAAAUCUGCAGUAGGAGGGUGCCAUUAACUGCUUCAUCUGUGGGAAAGACUGUGGUCUUGGAUGAACUGAGUUAACUGGCCAUGGGCAGCAUUGCAGGAAAUAAAGCUAGAAAGGCUUUCGUUUCGUUACCAAGAGUGCAGAUGAAUGAGCGUGAGAACUGUCUUGUUUAGACUGCCAAGCAUUCAUGACUGUGUUAGUAUUGCCUGUGCUGGUGUAUAUUUCUUCUUUGUGGGCGUUUUAGCAAGUUGCUCACACUGUUCAAUUUCUCACCCUUUUGGAGAAAUCAACAUUAGUCUGGCUUUAAAGCCCAAAACAUACCAUCUAAUGACAAGACUUCCUUAGAACAAAGCUUAGGAAUGAGCUACCUUUGGAUCACGUGGGUCUCAGUGCCAGGGAGUAAGCAGCUCCUGUGUCACUUAUAUCAAAACCUUCCACAGGAAUAAUGUGCUCUGGCUCCUCAUUGUGCGUGACACCCUUCUCAGAGAAGGAAAGGUCUGUUUUUCAGGUUCUUAUUCUGACUCCUGAGAGCCCAAGACGAAGAUGUAAUUGACUGACUUUAGAAGUCAGAAUUCCCAGAAAUUCAACUAACUGCUCUAGAAGGUUAAAAUGUGAAGUUUCUUGUUUGUUUUUUGCUUGUGCUGAAUAUUUUGAAUUUUCAUCUACCUCGUCUUAUUUUUCUUAGUUACUUCUGUCAUUACCACUUGAGCAUCAAGCUUGAUUUUGGUCAUUGUCUAAAAUGGGGUCUCUCCUGUUCAGUGACAGUUUAUUCCCUUGUCUUUCCUCUUGGCCCUCAUUUCACCUAACAUCAUCUCUUAUUGCUCCUGUCAGAAAUAUGUUUUAAAGUCUUGUUUUAUGGGAAAAAGUGGUCCACCAAUGCUGUUUGUCUCUGAGGUCAGUGAGAGAAGGAGUUAAAACACAGUGGUGGAGGAAGGGCAGAGCCUGCCUGCACUGGAGGCAAAAGCUGACAAGGAAGGAGUCAUUAAUUAAAGACAAUUUCAAAGUCAACUGAUUGUGAUCAUUAAUGUCACAAUAGAUCAAAACCUAAUUAUCACAGCCUAGGUAAGAGCCAUCAGUAUUAAUCGGAAAAUCUAAUAGGAAACUAUUAGCAAGAAAUUAGGCCAAAUUGAAUGCAAUGAACUUUUUAUCAUCUUUUUUUGGUAAUGUUCUUGGUGUUGGCAACUGUGACCCUAACAGUUGGUCCAAGCCCAGAUUGCUAAUUUUAAAGAGCCUUUUUUUUUUUUUUUUUUUUUAAGUAACCCAGGCUGACCCUAGUGCUUACAGCCCUCCAGCUUCAGCCUUGAGCACUGGGAUUAUGAGGGGUACAUGCAUUUGUGUUUGUGUGGGUGGGUAGGAGAGAAUUGAACUCAGGGCCUUGUACAUUUUAGACAAGUGCUCUACCACUGAACUGUAUUCCUAGCUCAGAGUGUUUUGUUUGUUAGGGAAGUUUCCAGACAGACUGAACCUAAGCUGACAUUGCUGAAACACCAGCCUUGAAUUUUUUUAUCAUAUGGAUCUAUUCAUUCUAAUCAGAUCAGCGGGAUAUAAACAUAUAUAUUAAAGUCGUAGAGUGUCCCUAGUGAACAUCAUAUCAUCUGUUGAGUGCUUGUAUAUAGAGUUCUAUACUGGUUGUUGUGAAGGCUGUGGGAGGAAGGCAGUGUCCUGCUUUGAAAUUCUUUGAAAACUAAAAAGAUAGUUUCCUUGUGUGACAGCAUGAUCAAGAUGCAAGUCUGUGUUUUUCAGUUUCCAUUAGCAUUAGGGUUUGAUCCUAAACCAGCUUAGCAGUGCCCCCAACCCCAAUAGUUUUAAGAUAGGCACAAAAUGAUUUCCUACUGGAAUUCUAAGGUAUGGGGAAGACAUCUUUGUUUCUGUUUUCCUUUCUGGUAGUAGGAGAAGCAUCAGUAUGUCCUUAAGAUGUUUGUAAAGAUGCUACCCCCUUUAGGUGAGAUGAGUCAGGCUGUGGAACGGUUGCUGUCACAGGAGGAGUGCCAGGCAGUAGUAGAGGGAAUUGUGCUUAGGAGUCUGCACUGUGCCCUGCAGCCCUCAGAUGCUCAGUGCUGACCUUAGGAGGCCCAUGCUGCUUUCUGGACCUUGGGAACCUGGAUUACCCAGUAGAAGACUGAGAAUCAAUGUCUUUUGUUUGUUUGUUUAUUUUUUGUUCUGUUUUUGUUUUGUUUUGUUUUGUUUUCCAAGAUGGGGUCUCUGUGUAGCCAUGGAUGUCCUGGAACUUGCUCUGUUGACCAGACUGGCCUCGAACUCAAAGAUCUGCCUGCCCCUGCCUCCCAAGUACUGUGAUCAAACGUGUGCGCCAUCACUGCCUGGCUAACCCUUCACUUCUUAGUGAGUUUUAGUGUUUAAAAAAUGCAACUUAAUUUUCAAAGUGGCACUAAGGUGGUUUGUCCAGCCUUGGGUUACUCCAGGUGAGCAGCAGCCCUCAAUUAACAGUGUGUUGAUUGGACUCAUCCGGCUGCAGUGAAAUGACUGAAAGUGAGAUGUUCUAGUGCAUAGUUCUGUGCUAACCUCCUACUUGGUCUUAAUGGCUGACCUUGGGCAAGUCUUUCCUUUCAAUGCCUCAGUUCCCCAUCUGUCAAAUGGGGUGAUAAUACUGACCUACCUCAUGGGGUGUUGUGAGGCAUUACAGAUCAGAGCUGAUCAACCCUUUAGGAUUGCCUGUGGAGGAUACCUUAAGUCGGACUCUUUUAGCCCUCACUGAGCUACUUCCAAGUUUGGAAGUAGUUAGUGACCUUGGCGAGUUUCUGUCCCCCCACCCUUUACCCCUCAUCAAAGCUGCUAGUUCAGAUGUUAACAGUGUUUUGUGAAUGUUGGAGUCUUGAUCGUCCAGUCUAACUUGGGACAAUGUAAGGGAAGGCACUUGUGGGUUCUGUGUCUUAUAUUACAAAGAGACUGUUAGAAAUUCAAGAGCCUUGGUUUAGGAAUCUUGAGGCAGGAAUGCUACCGCAUGUCUUUCUCUGCAGGAGUUAAGGUCCUAUUCUCAUGGACUUAUAACCACUUCUGACUGUCUUCGAAAGGAAGUGACACUUGGUAUUUUGGAUUUAUAUUGUUGCUUUCAUUUUCCAGACUGAUCCUAGGACAGUUAGUCUACUGAACCCUUCAUGCUUCUAUGCCUCUGCCCUCUCAUAGAAGCCAGAUGGUUCAAGCAACAUAGCUCUCCCUUCCCCCACCAAAAAGCUGUAUUGGAUUUUUGUUUUUUUGUUUCUAGAAAUAGGUGUAACAUUUCAGAAUUGAGCAUUGGUCCUCAAGGCUUCUUCCAGUUCACUGUGUGUGGAAUCUGUCACCUCUUUUCAGUGUCCACCAUCUGACCCACUGAGGACAUCUUGGACACUUGUUUGCCCACUUGAGGGUUCAAAAGCCUUACUCUGUGUUUCAGUAUAGGGCUAAGGCAUCCCCAAGCUCUUCGUGAUAGGUUUCCUUUCCCCUACUUGACCUUGUAUUGGUACCAUGAAAAAGCACACAGUCCUAGCUCCCUGGAGGUACACACUCCAGUACUGUUAGGUGGACUCUACUCCUAACAGGGAUCCUAGAGGGUUCUCUGGAGGAUGGGAAAGGAGCA